CAGCUUUACAAUCCUCAAGGGAUUCCCCAUCUAAAUGUGCUGGACCUGAGUAACAAUGACCUGCAGGAUUUAGGAGUGAGGCUGCUUUCUGAAGGACUGAAGAGUCCAAACUCUAAGCUGGAGAUAUUGAGACUUUCCAUCUGUAAUGUCACUGCUCGGUCUUGUAAGAGUUUGUCAUCAGUUUUACAAUCAUCAAGCACCUGUUUGAGAGAGCUGGACCUGAGUAACAAUGACCUGCAGGAUUCAGGAGUGAGGCUGCUUUCUGAUGGACUGAAGAAUCCAAACACUAAGCUGGAGAUACUGAGAUUUUCCAUCUGUAACCUCACUGCUCAGUCUUGUGAGAAUUUGUCAUCAGUUUUAAAAUCAUCAAACUCUGUCCUGAGAGAGCUGGACCUGAGUAACAAUGACCUACAGGACUCAGGAGUGAAGCUUCUUGAUGGACUGAAGAGUCCAAACUGUCAGCUGGAGAUACUGAGGUAAUGGUUUUCCAUAAAAUAAUUAACAAAAUGUUGCUACAAUAAAUGGCUGUAGAAUUUUGUCAAAUGUUGCAUCUGCUCUCAAUGGAAUUCCAGAACUAGAGACAAAAACAACAUUUGCGGCCAUUUUUUCAUAUUUAUACAGAUGUCUGUAGUAGGUAUGGUCUGGUAUGAGAUUCUGAUGGUAUGAUAACCUUAAGUAAAAAUAUCAAUGU